GAUGAAGAACGUAGCGAAAUGCGAUAAGUAAUGUGAAUUGUAGAAUUCAGUGAAUCAUCGAAUCUUUGAACGCAUCUUGCGCUCCUUGGUAUUCUGAGGAGCAUGCCUGUUUGAGUGUCAUUAAAUUCUCAACUACACUGACUUUGAAUUGGUGUGGCUUGGAUUUGGGGGGAAAAUUGUUGUGGGCUUUUUGUAUAGUCUGCUCCCCUGAAAUUGAUUAGCGGUACCUUUGUGGAACUGUCUACAGGUGUGAUAAUUAUCUACAUCUUAGACAUCUGCUGGAAUGCUGCUUUCUAAACCUUACUUGUAUUGACAAUCUUGACCUCAAAUCAGGUAGGACUACCCGCUGAACUUAAGCAUAUCAAUAAGCGGAGGA
rnacentral:misc_RNA from 1 species